AGAGAUGUGUGAUGACGCAUAUCAAUAAGCGGAGGAAAAGAAACUAACAAGGAUUCCCCUAGUAACGGCGAGUGAAGCGGGAAGAGCUCAAAUUUGAAAUCUUAAAGGGUUUCCCUUUACGAAUUGUAGUUUAAAGAAGUGUUUUCUGUUGGAGUUUCGGUAAAAGUUCUUUGGAAUAGGACAUCAUAGAGGGUGAGAAUCCCGUAUUUGACCGUUACUUUCCAGCUGUGUGAUACACUUUCAAAGAGUCGGAUUGUUUGGGAAUGCAGUCCAAAAUGGGUGGUAAAUUUCAUCUAAAGCUAAAUAUUGGCGAGAGACCGAUAGCGAACAAGUACCGUGAGGGAAAGAUGAAAAGAACUUUGAAAAGAGAGUUAAACAGUACGUGAAAUUGUCAAAAGGGAAGCGUUUGACACCAGUGUUGUUUAGUUGAAAAUCAAUUCAAUAAUUUUUGAUUCUAAGUAGUAUUGACUUCAUCAGCUUGCUGCUUUCUUCUCGGAAAUUAUUGAAUGCACUUUUCAGUUAACAAGUCAACAUCAAUUUCUUUUGUUGUAAAAGGGUAAGAGGAAGGUGGCUUGCGCUUCGGCUCAAGUGUUUAUAGCCUUCUAUCUCUGCAAUCGGAGAGAUUGAGGUCUGCAGCGUAGAUCCUUCGGGAUUAGAUACAUUUGUGCUAAGCUAUAGCCUUGUAUAGACAACUUGUUGACUAUGCUCAGUCAUGUAGCUUACUCGCUUAUGCUAUUUUACCUACGCUUAGGAUGUUGAAGAUGUAGCACAUCAU
rnacentral:rRNA from 1 species